UACGGGGGGGGGCAAGCGUUGUUCGGAAUUACUGGGCGUAAAGGGCGCGUAGGCGGCCUGCUAAGUCGGACGUGAAAUCCCUCGGCUCAACCGGGGAACUGCGUCCGAUACUGGCGAGGCUUGAAUCCGGGAGAGGGAUGUGGAAUUCCAGGUGUAGCGGUGAAAUGCGUAGAUAUCUGGAGGAAUACCGGUGGCGAAGGCGGCAUCCUGGACCAUUACUGACGCUGAGGCGCGAAAGCGUGGGGAGCGAACAGG
rnacentral:rRNA from 1 species